rnacentral:rRNA from 1 species
CCUGCCCUUCAGAGGGGGACAACAGUUGGAAACGACUGCUAAUACCGCAUACGAUCUGACCUCGGCAUCGAGGAUAGAUGAAAGGUGGCCUCUAUUUAUAAGCUAUCACUGAAGGAGGGGAUUGCGUCUGAUUAGCUAGUUGGUGAGGUAACGGCCCACCAAGGCGACGAUCAGUAGCCGACCUGAGAGGGUGACCGGCCACAUUGGGACUGAGACACGGCCCAG